AACGAACGCUGGCGGCAGGCUUAACACAUGCAAGUCGAACGCCCCGCAAGGGGAGUGGCAGACGGGUGAGUAACGCGUGGGAACAUACCCUUUCCUGCGGCAUAGCUAAGGGAAACUGGAAUGAAUCCCGCAUAGGCCCUACGGGGGAAAGAUUUAUCGGGGAAGGAUUGGCCCGCGUUGGAUUAGCUAGUUGGUGGGGUAAAGGCCUACCAAGGCGACGAUCCAUAGCUGGUCUGAGAGGAUGAUCAGCCACAUUGGGACUGAGACACGGCCCAAACUCCUACGGGAGGCAGCAGUGGGGAAUAUUGGACAAUGGGCGCAAGCCUGAUCCAGCCAUGCCGCGUGAGUGAUGAAGGCCUUAGGGUUGUAAAGCUCUUUCACCGAUGAAGAUAAUGACGGUAGUCGGAGAAGAAGCCCCGGCUAACUUCGUGCCAGCCGCCGCGGUAAAAC
rnacentral:rRNA from 1 species